CUGAAGCCGGGAAACAUGGUGGCCGCCUGCUUUCUCAACAAGGGUUUGACUACCCUGGCAGGGUUGUUGCUUUUGUCCUUCGGCACCUUGGCCACUAGUCAGAUCGAAGAUCAAGCAGAACAGUUCUUUAGAAUUGGCCAUACAAACAACUGGGCUGUUUUGGUAUGUACAUCCCGGUUCUGGUUUAAUUAUCAGCAUGUUGCAGAUACUCUCUCCGUUUACAGAAGUGUCAAGAGGUGGGAUGUUCCUGACAGUCAUAUUGUUCUGAUGCUUGCAGACGAUAUGGCAUACAACCCUAGAAAUCCCAAACCAGCUACGGUGUUUAGUCACAAGAAUAUGGAACUAAAUGUGUAUGAGAUGAUGUGGAAGUGGGUUAUAGAAGUUAUGAGGUAACUGUGGAGAAUUUUUUAUGGAUAUUAACUGGCAGGAUCCCACCUAGUACUCCUCAGUCAAAACGUCUUCUUUCUGAUGAUAGAAGCAAUAUUCUUAUUUAUAUGACAGGACAUGGUGGAAAUGGUUUCUUGAAAUUUCAAGAUUCUGAAGAAAUUACCAACAUAAAACUUGCAGAUGCUUUUGAGCAAAUGUGGCAAAAAAGACACUACAACGAGUUACUGUUUAUUAUUGAUACGUGUCAAGGAACAUCCAUGUAUGAACGAUUCCAUUCUCCUAACAUAAUGGCUUUAGCUAGUAGCCAAGUGGGAGAAGAUUCACUCUCGCAUCAACCUGAUCCUGCAAUUGGAGUCCACCUUAUGGAUAGAUACACAUUUUAUGUCUUGGAAUUUUUGGAAGAAAUUAAUCCAGCUAGACAAACUAAUAUGAAUGACCUUUUUCAGGUAUGUCCUAGAAGUCUCUGUGUGUCUACCCCUGGCCAUCGAACUGAUCUUUUUCAGAGGGAUCCUAAAAAUGUCCUGAUAACUGAUUUUUUUGGAAGCAAACAGAAAGUGGAAAUUACAAGAGAGACCAUUAGUUUGCAACCAGAUUUAGAAAUCAUGGAAAGCAGAAAUAAGAGAGACUGGAUGGAUGAGGAACUCAUGCAACCACUGAAAUGUGCUGAACAACUUCCUGUAGCUCAGAUAAUUCACCAGAAACCAAAGCUGAAAGAUUCGCAUCCUCCUGGGGGUUUUAUUCUGGGAUUGUGGGCACUCAUUAUAAUGGUUUUCUUCAAAACUUAUGGAAUCAAGCAUAUGAAGUUCAUUUUCUAGACGUGAUGUGUGAAGAAGACGGCAUGGAAGACUGCAACCUUGGAUAAAAUUUUAUGUCAUUAUGCUUUUUAAAAAAUACAUUGCUCUUGUGUGAAUUGGGCAAAAAGUAUAGGGAAACUAAAUUUGAAUGAACUAUUGAUUUUAUAACUUAAAGAUAAAUAACUGUUAAUGCAAGUGUUAAGUGGCACUAAUGAUACUUAUUUUUUGUUGUGCAUGUUAUUAAAAAGAUUGGAAAAGA